rnacentral:piRNA from 1 species
UAAACUUCCUAUCACAGGACCCUGAAG